UGAGGAAUAUUGGUCAAUGGACGCAAGUCUGAACCAGCCAUGUCGCGUGCAGGACGACGGCCCUAUGGGUUGUAAACUGCUUUUGUACGGGAAGAAAAAUGACCACGUGUGGUCACUUGCCGGUACCGUACGAAUAAGGAUCGGCUAACUCCGUGCCAGCAGCCGCGGUAAUACGGAGGAUCCGAGCGUUAUCCGGAUUUAUUGGGUUUAAAGGGUGCGUAGGCGGAAUGGUAAGUCAGGGGUGAAAUACUGCAGCUCAACUGUAGGAUUGCCUUUGAUACUGUCAUUCUUGAGUACAGUUGAGGUAGGCGGAAUGUGGUGUGUAGCGGUGAAAUGCUUAGAUAUACCACAGAACACCGAUUGCGAAGGCAGCUUACUAAGCUGAAACUGACGCUGAUGCACGAAAGCGUGGGUAUCAAACAGG
rnacentral:rRNA from 1 species